rnacentral:rRNA from 1 species
UACGUAGGGUGCAGGCGUUAAUCGGAAUUACUGGGCGUAAAGCGUGCGCAGGCGGUUUUGUAAGUCAGAUGUGAAAGCCCCGGGCUCAACCUGGGAAUUGCAUUUGAAACUACAAGGCUAGAGUGUGUCGGAGGGGGGUAGAAUUCCACGUGUAGCAGUGAAAUGCGUAGAGAUGUGGAGGAAUACCGAUGGCGAAGGCAGCCUCCUGGGCCAGCACUGACGCUCAUGCACGAAAGCGUGGGGAGCAAACAGG